AUUGAACGCUGGCGGCAGGCCUAACACAUGCAAGUCGAGCGGAGCGGCGGACGGGUGAGUAAUGCCUAGGAAUCUGCCUGGUAGUGGGGGCUAACGUCCGGAAACGGGCGCUAAUACCGCAUAAUAUCAGAUGAGCCUAGGUCGGAGUAGCUAGUUGGUGGGGUAAAGGCCUACAAAGGCGACGAUCCGCAACUGGUCUGAGAGGAUGAUCAGGCACACGGGAACUGAGACACGGUCCAGACUCCUACGGGAGGAAGCAGUGGGGAAUAUUGGAAAAGGGGCGAAAGCCUGAUCCAGCCAUGCCGCGUGUGGGAAGAAGGUCUUCGGAUUGUAAAGCACUUUAAGUUGGGAGGCGUUACCAACAGAAUAAGCGCCGGCUAACUACGUGCCAGCAGCCGCGGUAAUAC
rnacentral:rRNA from 1 species